AUUUGGUUUAGUAAAGACAUAAG
rnacentral:piRNA from 1 species